UAAUACGGAGGGGGCUAGCGUUGUUCGGAAUUACUGGGCGUAAAGCGCGCGUAGGCGGACUGUUAAGUCGGGGGUGAAAUCCCGGGGCUCAACCCCGGAACUGCCUUCGAUACUGGCAGUCUAGAGGAAGGCAGAGGCUAGUGGAAUGGCGAGUGUAGAGGUGAAAUUCGUAGAUAUUCGCCGGAACACCAGUGGCGAAGGCGACUGGCUGGGCCUUUUCUGACGCUGAGGUGCGAAAGCGUGGGGAGCAAACAGG
rnacentral:rRNA from 1 species